GAUGAACGCUGGCGGCGUGCCUAACACAUGCAAGUCGAGCGAGAAAUGUCAGAAUGAAGCUUCGGUAGAUUUCAGACAUGGACAGCGGCGGACGGGUGAGUAACGCGUGGGCAACCUGCCCUUCACUGGGAGAUAGCCGUGGGAAACUACGAGUAAUACCCCAUAAUGCAGAACCUUCACAUGAAGGAACUGCCAAAGAUUUAUCGGUGAAGGAUGGGCCCGCGUCUGAUUAGCUGGUUGGUAAGGUAGCGGCUUACCAAGGCGACGAUCAGUAGCCGGCCUGAGAGGGCGGACGGCCACAUUGGAACUGAGACACGGUCCAGACUCCUACGGGAGGCAGCAGUGGGGAAUAUUGCACAAUGGGCGCAAGCCUGAUGCAGCGACGCCGCGUGAGGGAAGAAGGCCUUCGGGUCGUAAACCUCUGUCCAAGGGGAAGAAUAGAUGACGGUACCCUUGGAGGAAGCCCCGGCUAACUACGUG
rnacentral:rRNA from 1 species